UACGAAGGGGGCUAGCGUUGCUCGGAAUCACUGGGCGUAAAGCGCGCGUAGGCGGCCCUGUAAGUCCGUUGUGAAAGUCAAAGGCUCAACCUUUGAAAGCCGAUGGAUACUGCAGGGCUAGAGUCCGGAAGAGGCGAGUGGAAUUCCUGGUGUAGCGGUGGAAUGCGCAGAUAUCAGGAGGAACACCAAUAGCGAAGGCAGCUCGCUGGGACGGUACUGACGCUAAGGCGCGAAAGCGUGGGGAGCGAACAGG
rnacentral:rRNA from 1 species